GAUGAACGCUGGCGGCGUGCCUAAUACAUGCAAGUCGAGCGAACGGACGAGAAGCUUGCUUCUCUGAUGUUAGCGGCGGACGGGUGAGUAACACGUGGAUAACCUACCUAUAAGACUGGGAUAACUUCGGGAAACCGGAGCUAAUACCGGAUAAUAUUUUGAACCGCAUGGUUCAAAAGUGAAAGACGGUCUUGCUGUCACUUAUAGAUGGAUCCGCGCUGCAUUAGCUAGUUGGUAAGGUAACGGCUUACCAAGGCAACGAUGCAUAGCCGACCUGAGAGGGUGAUCGGCCACACUGGAACUGAGACACGGUCCAGACUCCUACGGGAGGCAGCAGUAGGGAAUCUUCCGCAAUGGGCGAAAGCCUGACGGAGCAACGCCGCGUGAGUGAUGAAGGUCUUCGGAUCGUAAAACUCUGUUAUUAGGGAAGAACAUAUGUGUAAGUAACUGUGCACAUCUUGACGGUACCUAAUCAGAAAGCCACGGCUAACUACGUGCCAGCAGCCGCGGUAAUACGUAGGUGGCAAGCGUUAUCCGGAAUUAUUGGGCGUAAAGCGCGCGUAGGCGGUUUUUUAAGUCUGAUGUGAAAGCCCACGGCUCAACCGUGGAGGGUCAUUGGAAACUGGAAAACUUGAGUGCAGAAGAGGAAAGUGGAAUUCCACGUGUAGCGGUGAAAUGCGCAGAGAUAUGGAGGAACACCAGUGGCGAAGGCGACUUUCUGGUCUGUAACUGACGCUGAUGUGCGAAAGCGUGGGGAUCAAACAGGAUUAGAUACCCUGGUAGUCCACGCCGUAAACGAUGAGUGCUAAGUGUUAGGGGGUUUCCGCCCCUUAGUGCUGCAGCUAACGCAUUAAGCACUCCGCCUGGGGAGUACGACCGCAAGGUUGAAACUCAAAGGAAUUGACGGGGACCCGCACAAGCGGUGGAGCAUGUGGUUUAAUUCGAAGCAACGCGAAGAACCUUACCAAAUCUUGACAUCCUUUGACAACUCUAGAGAUAGAGCCUUCCCCUUCGGGGGACAAAGUGACAGGUGGUGCAUGGUUGUCGUCAGCUCGUGUCGUGAGAUGUUGGGUUAAGUCCCGCAACGAGCGCAACCCUUAAGCUUAGUUGCCAUCAUUAAGUUGGGCACUCUAAGUUGACUGCCGGUGACAAACCGGAGGAAGGUGGGGAUGACGUCAAAUCAUCAUGCCCCUUAUGAUUUGGGCUACACACGUGCUACAAUGGACAAUACAAAGGGCAGCGAAACCGCGAGGUCAAGCAAAUCCCAUAAAGUUGUUCUCAGUUCGGAUUGUAGUCUGCAACUCGACUACAUGAAGCUGGAAUCGCUAGUAAUCGUAGAUCAGCAUGCUACGGUGAAUACGUUCCCGGGUCU
rnacentral:rRNA from 1 species